rnacentral:rRNA from 1 species
GAAAACAAUUAAGGGCUUAUGCAGGAUCCCUUGGAACUUUUGAGCGAUGAAGGGCGUAGUUACUAGCGAUAUGCUUCGGGGAGCUAGAUACAAGCUUUGAUCCGAAGAUUCCCGAAUAGGGCAACCUAUUUAACCUAAAUUUAAUUUAUAGAUUUUGUGUGGCAGACCGGGUGAACUGAAACAUCUUAGUAGCCCGAGGAAGAGUAAGCAAUAGCGAUUUCCUUAUUAGCGGCGAGCUAACAGGAAAGAACCUAAACCGUUUUUGGUGUUGUGGGAUUUUAUUAUUGAAAUAAAUUAAAAUUGAAUUUGUUGAAUACAAAACCAUAGAAGGUUGAUAGUCCUGUAAAUUUAGUCAGUUUAUUUCAAAGAAUUUUCCCGAGUAGCGUGGAGCACGUGAAAUUCCAUGUGAAUCAGCAAGGACCAUCUUGUAAGGUAAAAUAUCCAAAAGUUACCAAUAGUGAACAAGUACCGCGAGGGAAAGGUGAAAAGAACCCUGGAAAGGGAGUGAAAUAGAAUGUGAAAGCAUAAGCUUACAUGCAGUGGGAGGAUUUUGAUUUCUGACCAUGUGCCUGUUGAAGAAUGAGCCGGCGACUUAUGGAUUAUGGCAGGUUAAGAUUUUACAUCGGAGCCACAGCGAAAGCGAGUUUGAAUAAAGCGAUUUUGUCAUCGUUCAUAGACCCGAAACCGGGUGAUCUAACUAUGACCAGAAUGAAGCCUGAGUAAAAUUAGGUGGAGGUUCGAACUCACCAAUGUUGAAAAAUUGGGAGAUGAGUUGUAGUUAGGGGAGAAAUUCCAGUCGAACUCGGAGCUAGCUGGAUCUCUUCGAAAUGUGUUGAGGCACAGCAACCAAUUAUGUUCUUUUCAGGGGUAGAGCACUGUUUCGAUGCGGGCUGCGAAAGUGGUACCAAGUUGUAGCAAACUUCGAAUACUGAUUCUUGAUGUUCAAUUGGUUAGUGAGACUGUGGGGGAUAAGCUUCAUAGUCAAAAGGGAAACAGCCCAGAUCACCAGUUAAGGCCCCUAAAUAAUUGCUAAGUGGUAAAGGAUGUGUUUGGACGUAGACAACCAGGAGGUUUGAUUAGAAGCAGCAAUUUUCCUUUAAAAAGUGCGUAAUAGCUUACUGGUCAAGUCCAUUCGCGCCGAUAAUGUUUGGGGCUAAGCAAUUUGCCGAAACUGUGGGUAUAACGGUAGAAGAGCGUUCUGUUAAGAUUGAAGUAAAUAUGUAAGUAUUUAUGGACUUUACAGAAGUGAGAAUGUCGGCUUAAGUAACGAAAACAUUGGUGAGAAUCCAAUGCUCCGUAAACCUAAAGGUUCCUUUGCAAGGUUCGUCCACAAAGGGUUAGUCAGGUCCUAAAAUGAAAUUGAAAAGUUUAGUUGAUGGCAAACAGGUUAAUAUUCCUGUACUACAAAACGUUAUGUUAAGAAGGACGAAAAAGGCUUAUGCUAGCCGAGUUUUGGUUUUCGGUUUAAAUUUUUAAGGCUAUGACGAAUAUAAUUAAAAAAUAUUCUGAGUUGAAAAAUGAGUAGUUUUUUGUUAAGGCAAGAAAUUAGCAGAUGUCACGUUUCCUAGAAAAGUUCUUGUAACGAGUUAACGUUUUGUACCUGUACUUGAAACUGACACAGGUAGGUGGGUAGAGAAUACCAAGGAGCGCGAGAUAACUCUUUUUAAGGAACUCGGCAAAAUGGCUUUGUAUCUUCGGUAGAAAAAGUGCCUUACUUAAACAGUAAGGUUGCAGUGAUCAGAUUCAAACGACUGCUUAUCAAAAGCACAGGUCUCCGCAAAGUUGAAAAACCAUGUAUGGGGGCUGACGCCUGCCCAGUGCCGGAAGGUGAAGGAAACUUGUUAGUUUUUUACAAAGCUUGUGACUUAAGCCCCGGUGAACGGCGGCAGUAACUAUAACUGUCCUAAGGUAGCGAAAUUCCUUGUCGGGUAAGUUCCGACCUGCACGAAAGGCGUAACGAUUUGAAUACUGUCUCAAAAAGAGACUCGGUGAAAUAGAAUUAACCGUGAAGAUGCGGUUAACUUGCACUUGGACAGAAAGACCCUAUGAAGCUUUACUGUAGUUUGAAAUUGAGUUUGGAUUUUCCUUGCGCAGAAUAGGUGGGAGGCUAUGAAGGGUUUUUUUCGGAAGAUCUUGAGCCAGAAGGUGAGAUACCACUCUUGGGAAAUUAAAACUCUAAUUGCAUUUCUUUAUUUGAAUGUUUGACAGUUUUAGAUGGGCAGUUUUACUGGGGCGGUAGCCUCCUAAAAAGUAACGGAGGCGUACAAAGGUUUCCUCAAACUGGACGGAAAUUAGUUUUAGAGUGUAAAGACAUAAGGAAGCUUAACUGUUAGACUUACAAGUCAAUCAGGGACGAAAGUCGGUCUUAGUGAUCCGACGUUACUUAAUGGAAAGGACGUCGCUCAACGGAUAAAAGUUACUCUAGGGAUAACAGGCUGAUCUUCCCCAAGAGUUCACAUCGACGGGGAGGUUUGGCACCUCGAUGUCGGCUCAUCGCAACCUGGAGCGGUAGUACGUUCCAAGGGUUGGGCUGUUCGCCCAUGAAAGCGGUACGUGAGCUGGGUUCAGAACGUCGAGAGACAGUUCGGUCCAUAUCCGGUGUAAGCGUUAGAAUAUUGAAAGGAGCUUUUUUUAGUACGAGAGGACCGAAAAAGACACAUCACUAGUAUAUCAGUUCUUGUGCCAACAGGAAACGCUGAGUAGCUACAUGUGGAGUGGAUAACUGCUGAAGGCAUCUAAGUAGGAAGCCCACCUUAAGAUAAGUAUUCCGUCAAGCUUUGCUUGAAAGAUCAUGAUUAGAUUAAUCAUACAUAGGUACUAGAUGAAAUAUAAGUAAUUAUUUUAGUCGAGGUAUACUAAUAGAUCGAACGUUUUUUAA